rnacentral:rRNA from 1 species
GACGCCGCGUGGGAGGAUGAAGGCCUUCGGGUUGUAAACUUCUGUUAAGCGGGAAGAAAACCCCAUUUCUAAUACAAGUGGGGCAUGACGGUACCGCUAGAGAAAGCACCGGCUAAACUCGUGCCAGCAGCCGCGGUAAUACGAAGGGUGCAAGCGUUAUUCGGAAUUAUUGGGCGUAAAGGGUGUGCAGACGGUUUGUUAAGUCACUUGUUAAAUUCUCCGGCUUAACCGGAGGCCUGCAUGUGAAACUAGCAGACUAGAGGGUGAGAGAGAGAAGUGGAAUUCUCUGAGUAGCGGUAAAAUGCGUAGAUCUCGAGAGGAACACCAAUGGCGAAGGCAGCUUCUUGGCUCACUCCUGACGUUCAUACACGAAAGCGUGGGGAGCAAACAGGAUUAGAUACCCUGGUAGA